rnacentral:rRNA from 1 species
AGACAGUUCGGUCCCUAUCUGCCGUGGGCGCUGGAGAAUUGAGGGGGGCUGCUCCUAGUACGAGAGGACCGGAGUGGACGCAUCACUGGUGUUCGGGUUGUCAUGCCAAUGGCACUGCCCGGUAGCUAAAUGCGGAAGAGAUAAGUGCUGAAAGCAUCUAAGCACGAAACUUGCCCCGAGAUGAGUUCUCCCUGAGACUAUAAGUCUCCUGAAGGAACGUUAAAGACGAUGACGUUGAUAGGCCGGGUGUGUAAGCGCAGCGAUGCGUUGAGCUAACCGGUACUAAUGAACCGUGAGGCUUAACCUUACAACGCCGAAG